rnacentral:rRNA from 1 species
UACGGGGGGGGCAAGCGUUGUUCGGAAUUACUGGGCGUAAAGGGCGCGUAGGUGGCCUCCUAAGUCGAACGUGAAAUCCCUGGGCUCAACCCAGGAACUGCGUCCGAGACUGGGAGGCUUGAAUCCGGGAGAGGGAUGCGGAAUUCCAGGUGUAGCGGUGAAAUGCGUAGAUAUCUGGAGGAACACCGGUGGCGAAGGCGGCAUCCUGGACCGGUAUUGACACUGAGGCGCGAAAGCCAGGGGAGCAAACGGG